rnacentral:rRNA from 3 species
AGAACGACUCUCGGCAACGGAUAUCUCGGCUCUCGCAUCGAUGAAGAACGUAGCGAAAUGCGAUACUUGGUGUGAAUUGCAGAAUCCCGUGAACCAUCGAGUCUUUGAACGCAAGUUGCGCCCGACGCCAUCAGGUCGAGGGCACGUCUGCCUGGGCGUCACAC